GAAGUGGAACUGUUGAGGUCAUGUGCGAGCUCCGACAGCAGACGUGGAUCUGACAGGGACGAUGUUUGUUUUCGUGCCUCCGGAAGGACUUGGCCUCACUGUCUUCUUCGACUAUAGCCAUGGCAGUUCAGUGAUCACUCUCUUCACUGAGCAAAAGGUGGGUGGGGUGACAGCAAAGUCCUUUUGUGAAGGUUUUGCAACCA
rnacentral:lncRNA from 1 species